rnacentral:lncRNA from 1 species
CAUCCUGCGGGGGCAGGGAGGCCGCGCGGGAGGCCGCCAGACGCAGUAAAUAAUUCACACAGAUGAACUGGAGAUAAGGGCGGCUUCGUGGAGGAUCGAGUUCAGGCAGACUUUAUAAACCAGAGCAGCUGCCUGAAGGUUUCCAAGAAAAAAAUUCUGCACAGUUUCUAACCAGGGUGACAGUUCCCCUCCACAGGAAGUUACUUUUAUUAAUUUUUUUAUCUCUUCUUUUGUAAGACUAUAUACUGGUCAUCAGGCAGCACCUGUGGGCAUUUUCUUAUUUCCCCCCACUGCUCCCAUUUGCCUGGAAUUCAUUAUUAAAUCUAACUCAUAGUGGCCUUGCCCAACACAGGGGCGAAGUUCAAACUACUGAAAAAUGGGUCACUCAAAUCGCCUGUGCAGAAGAAUCCCAAAUAAUUUAUGGAGAUACUCCUCCCUCAAGGCGGUGAAACAUAAAUCCCUGUCCCUGAAGUGUGGGCUGUGCAUAAUGAUUUCCUUCUAUGGAGUAUAGUAUGGAAAGCAGGGGGAAAGAGUAAUCUUGCAGGAGAGAAACCUGACAAGCACUAGCUCAGCCAGAUGGCCAAGGUCAACAUCAGCAGCGAUCAGUCGUGUCUAUAGCAUGGACACUUGAUAUGAUGUGAUGGAAACAGCACAUCACCCCCAAACCCAUAACCACAGUUGAACCAUGAGAAAAACAGCAGACAGACCCCACCUGAGGGACAGUCUACAAAUUACCUGACCAACAGUCCAUCAAAAGCAAGGAAAGUCUGAG